rnacentral:lncRNA from 1 species
UCCAGCAGGACAAGGCAGGCUUUUUGCUCAGAGUUUCAGCAAAUUUGCCUCACCUGUUGCUGGUCCGGUUGAUUAUCAGGGGAGAGAAUAUGGUGUUUACCCCGCCAGCAUCAUUCUCCCUGCCCUUAGAACAGGAGCUCGGGGCGAGCUUCUGCCGGAGCCCCUGGGUUUCGGGCCCAAGCGUCCGUCUUCCACUGAAGGGCAAGGACUGCACCUACAGUGUGCCAGGAGGUGCUCAGCGUUUGAGGGAAUCAAAACGUGGUGCCGCCUACAAGUUGAACAGAAGGGAAGACAGUGAAUUUGGGAAGAAGGAGGCAUAGUAUGGGGUCAGGUGUCUGCCAUAGUAGCUUAAGGACAUUCCCGCGGCUGUAAAGGAAAUCCAGUUGGAGUGGUGCACGUGGAGCGAGGGAACACGCACAGGGGCACAAGGGUGGCACGUUGAAAGAAAAGUAGCUUCGCAAGGACAAACCUGUUGGGUUCAUCGGAAGCCAGGGCAAGCUGCAGAUACAAAGUCAUGUUCCCCGUGAAGAUGCAUCUAUCCCAGAGUUGAAAAGCAUCUGGAAUCAGAAUCCUCCGAAGAGCUGGUUUUGAAGAAUAAUACUGUCUCCUUUUCCUGACUAUUUGGUUUCACUGUGGAAGAUCAAUUACAAGAAAACAUGAGUGCAAGUUUAGUACAAUGCAUGGCUCCUAGUAUUUGAGAAAUGUCAGCUGCCACCAUCAUUAUUGUUAUUCUCAGUGAAGGAGCACACUCCCUAAGAAGGCAUGCCGGAAAUUUCCAGGAGAAGGGGCUGGGCUUCCAACCACUAAUUCCUCACCUCUCAAAUCAUCUACUGAAGCACAGUAGGGAAAUGCUUUUGCCAUGCUUCCUUUAUUGCCCCCUCACCCUGUGGAGUAUCAUCCAUGGCAGGAUAUGGAUUAUCCAUCUCAGAUUAGGAGAGAACCCAUUUCUGUACCAAAUGGAGAAAUACAGCAUUUGCAGAUAAGACAUUUUCCAAGAAACUCAUUAUAACCUCAAUUUUAAAAGCCAUACCACUGAGAGCUAGUUAAUUUUUCUAACUUGGAUAUUUUGCUGCUGUUAAUAAAACCAGGAAGUGGCCUUGGAUGACACUGAAUUGCUGGGAAAUCAUCCUGGAAAACUUCAUCCCAUGCGACCUUCACGACAAUUUGGUUAUGUAGGUAAAGUUGAUGGGACAACUUUUGGUGUGUGGGAAAUGGUAGCAGCAUGGACAUUGUGUGAGCUCGAAACUCAGGCUAGUUCUUGUGAACCUUAGUGUGGUGGUGCCCCACUGUCCCAGUGGC